UUGAGAAAGGCUAUGUCAACA
rnacentral:siRNA from 1 species